rnacentral:rRNA from 1 species
GCCUAGACGUAAACAAUUUAUUUACAUACUUUAACGCCCGGGUAUUACGAGCAUUGCUUAAAACCCAAAGGACUUGACGGUGUCUCACCCACCUAGAGGAGCCUGUUCUAUAAUCGAUAACCCCCGCUUUACCUAACCAUUCUUUGCCUAAUCAGUCUGUAUACCUCCGUCGGAAGCUUACCAUAUGAACGCCCAUAGUAAGCCCAAUGGUCACCCACCAACACGUCAGGUCAAGGUGCAACUUAUAGGAUGGAAAGAAAUGGGCUACAAUUUCUAAAUUAGAACAAACGAAAGGCUGUCUGAAACCCCCAGUCAUGAAGGAGGAUCUAGUAGUAAAAGGGGAAUAGAGAGCUCCUUUUAACCUGGCACUGAGACGCGUACACACCGCCCGUCACCCUCUUCAAUAGUUAUUCGUCUAGAUUAUUAACAAAUUAACCACGCCUUAGAAGAGGCAAGUCGUAACACGGUAGGGGUACUGGAAAGUGCCCCUGGUAGACAC